GCUGGACACGGUGGCGCAGUAGCUCCAGUUACUCGAGAGGCUGAGACAGGAGGAUCACUUGAGUCCAGGAGUUCUGGGCUGUAGUGUUCUGUGCUGAUCAGGUAAAUUUGGCAUCAGUAUGGUGACCUCCCGGGAGUGGGGGCCACCAGGUUGCCUAAGGAGGGGUGAACUGGCCCAGGUCGGAAAUGGAGCAGGUGAAAACUCUCGUGCUGGCUCGACGCCUGUGGCUCAAGUGGCUAAGGCGCCAGCCAUAUACACCUAAGGCAGCGUGUU
rnacentral:SRP_RNA from 1 species